GUGUUGUAAGAAAGGGGAGAAUUUUUAGCACUUUGACAAGGUUGGGAUUAUAAACACAUAAGACAAGCCAAGUUGAAAAAUGGCAAACCAGCUUUUAU